rnacentral:lncRNA from 1 species
CAAACCAUUAUCAUCGAACAAGUCAGGAGAGCAAGGCAGCCCUAGGAAUGAAGGAAAAUAAAAAACAUUGAGGAUAUGUUGAUAGAUCAUUUAGGAAGCGAGGGAAAGGCCUUUUCCAACAUUCUUGUUUCUUUUCUUAGUUAAUUAAUCCCAGGGUCCCCCAUGGUCCCUCCUUAAGGAACCUAAGGGCUCAGGUGCUGCUGUCUAUUUUUCUACCGGUAGCUACUUCACUGGACUCUCUUGUGAUGUGGAGGGUCCUUGGCCUGGUUCCCCAGCUUCUGAAAUAAGUGUGGUUCUUAUUAAUUUUGACUAUGUUACAAAGAAAUUAAUUCAAUAUAUCACCAAAAAAUUCACUAGAUUUUUUCUUUUAAUACAGGAAUUUUUGAAUGAUUACAUUUAUACUUUUACAGAUGAGUCUUCUCCAUCCCUCAUCUUUAUCCCGAAAAGCCAAGUCGCAUUCACAGGAGGAGAAUGCUUCCUAGUUUGUUGAUCAUGAUUGUGGGCAUGAUUGAGGGCAUGUCGCACAUGGAUAGGAGCCUGCCUUUCCAAGUCAUACUGCUGGGACAUGACCUUGGACUGGCAAAGACCUUUGGCAGCAGAGGGCUGAGUCAUUUUUAUCUGCUGUGUUGCCAUGGGAUUCUACUGCCCUAGAGAUCCUUCUACUGGCACCUGUAGCACCAGCAAUGUACAUCACUCGCACUGGGAACUCUCUCAGGUAAGAAGCAGAGGCGACCCACCUGUGAACUUUUCAAAAUCAGAAAGUGUCAUUUUAGCAGUGAUUGAGUUAUCUCUUUUCCAUGAGUGAGCAUAGCUUGAUCGUUUUUGCUUUUAACCUGUUGUCACUAAGUGUGUGUGUGUGUGUGUGUGUGUGUUUAAGUAUAACUGACUUCUCAUGAAUCAAUAUGACAAAUGAAUUACUGUAUUGACUGAUUUUUUCUCUGAGCACAGACUAUCAAGAUUCAUGUCAUUAAGCUCUGCUAUUCUGUCUUGCUCAGAAAAAAUUGAAAAAAAAACUUAAAAUAUUCAACAUAAUUAAUCACCAAUUAAUACUGAAAGCAUAUAUUAUAUUUUAAAUGCCUGAAAUACAUAUAUUUUACAUUUUAGGGUAAGAGCUAGUAUAUCUAGGCAAAAUUUCCAUGAGAUAGCAUUCAUCCAUUUAUAUUUUAUGAUUACU